rnacentral:lncRNA from 1 species
GCUAACGCUGUGCCUAACUUUCAACUUGUUAUUUUGCUAUUCCAGGGAAGUUUUUAUACAAUUCAGUGAUGAAUGAAUCUGAGAAACACAGAAAAAGAGGGAAUAGGAGCCAGCCUUCCUGUUUACGAACUGCACCUGAUGUGACUCGGCAGGAAACUUCUACCAAAACAUACAUAUUCUCCAUAAGCUGGUCAUCCUUCUAUACACUUAAUCUUCUCCCAACCAAUCCUCCCAAAAGAAAAUAAAUAUUUGUAGAUUAAAGG